UACGUAGGGGGCGAGCGUUAUUCGGAAUUACUGGGCGUAAAGCGUGCGCAGGCGGUUUUGUAAGCCAGAUGUGAAAUCCCCGGGCUUAACCUGGGAAUGGCAUUUGGGACUGCAAGGCUGGAGUUUGGCAGAGGAGACUGGAAUUCCUGGUGUAGCAGUGAAAUGCGUAGAUAUCAGGAGGAACACCAAUUGCGAAGGCAGCUCGCUGGGACGUUACUGACGCUGAGACGCGAAAGCGUGGGGAGCAAACAGG
rnacentral:rRNA from 1 species